rnacentral:rRNA from 1 species
UACAGAGGUCCCGAGCGUUGUUCGGAUUCACUGGGCGUAAAGGGUGCGUAGGUGGUGAGGUAAGUCGGAUGUGAAAUCUCCGAGCUCAACUCGGAAAUGGCAUUGGAAACUACCUUGCUCGAGGGUUGGAGGGGGGACUGGAAUACUUGGUGUAGCAGUGAAGUGCGUAGAUAUCAAGUGGAACACCAGUGGCGAAGGCGAGUCCCUGGACAACUCCUGACACUGAGGCACGAAAGCUAGGGGAGCAAACAGG